GUGCUCACUUCAGCAACAUAUACUAAAUCUGGAAUGACACAGAGAAGAUUAGAAUGGCCCCUAUGCAAGGAUGACAUGCAAAUUUGUGAAGCAUUCCAUGGUUUU